rnacentral:misc_RNA from 1 species
UUUCCGUAGGUGAACCUGCGGAAGGAUCAUUACCGAGUUUACAACUCCCAAACCCCUGUGAACAUACCUAUCGUUGCCUCGGCGGUGCCCGCUCCGGCGGCCCGCCAGAGGACCCCCAAACUCUUGUUUUAUACAGUAUCUUCUGAGUAACACGAUUAAAUAAAUCAAAACUUUCAACAACGGAUCUCUUGGUUCUG